ACCCUCUCAGGGUCGCACUUGGAGAGUUUCCAGUCCUCUACCAGUCUCGACUGUGAGAAGGAGAGUCAAGCAGAGGCCUACCCGUUCCAUUCCCAGCUUGGGCAGUGGCUAGCAAAUGGAAGGCAAUCUGCUACAAGU